rnacentral:piRNA from 1 species
CUGGUGAAGAUACUGCGAACAUUCUU